CAGGCCUAACACAUGCAAGUCGAACGGCAGCGCGGGAGCAUCCUGGCGGCGAGUGGCGAACGGGUGAGUAAUAUAUCGGAACGUGCCCAUUAGUGGGGGAUAGCCCGGCGAAAGCCGGAUUAAUACCGCAUACGACCUGAGGGUGAAAGCGGGGGAUCGCAAGACCUCGCGCUAUUGGAGCGGCCGAUAUCAGAUUAGCUAGUUGGUGGGGUAAAGGCCUACCAAGGCAACGAUCUGUAGUUGGUCUGAGAGGACGACCAGCCACACUGGGACUGAGACACGGCCCAGACUCCUACGGGAGGCAGCAGUGGGGAAUUUUGGACAAUGGGCGCAAGCCUGAUCCAGCAAUGCCGCGUGCAGGAAGAAGGCCUUCGGGUUGUAAACUGUUUUUGUCAGGGAAGAAAUCCUUUGGGUUAAUACCUCGGAGGGAUGACGGUACCUGAAGAAUAAGCACCGGCUAACUACGUGCCAGCAGCCGCGGUAAU
rnacentral:rRNA from 1 species